AAGCUAAGUCUAUCUUCUUAGGUCAAACCUUUGACUGCAUUAAAUGAUACCCUUUUCACAAAUAUUGGCUAACAAAUUUCCCCCCAGAAACGUUAUGUUUGAACUCGUCUUUCGAUCAAGAGAAACUUGACGUUUCUGAAAAUUGUCGAUAAAGUACAACAUCUUCGAGUGACGUCCCUUCCUUAAGAAAGGAUAUUUCAAAAGUUAUUUUUUCAAACUGUCCCCACCAUAGCUUAGUGGGCCAUGUUUAUCAUUGGGAACCAUAAAAAACAACCGUUCCAUGA
rnacentral:lncRNA from 1 species